rnacentral:rRNA from 1 species
AACUUUCAACAACGGAUCUCUUGGUUCUGGCAUCGAUGAAGAACGCAGCGAAAUGCGAUAAGUAAUGUGAAUUGCAGAAUUCAGUGAACCAUCGAAUCUUUGAACGCACAUUGCGCCCGCCAGUAUUCUGGCGGGCAUGCCUGUUCGAGCG